AGCGAACGCUGGCGGCAGGCUUAACACAUGCAAGUCGAGCGGGCCCUUCGGGGUCAGCGGCAGACGGGUGAGUAACACGUGGGAACGUACCCUUUGGUUCGGAAUAACGCUGGGAAACUAGCGCUAAUACCGGAUACGCCCUUUUGGGGAAAGGCUUGCUGCCGAAGGAUCGGCCCGCGUCUGAUUAGCUAGUUGGUGGGGUAAUGGCCUACCAAGGCGACGAUCAGUAGCUGGUCUGAGAGGAUGAUCAGACACACUGGGACUGAGACACGGCCCAGACUCCUACGGGAGGCAGCAGUGGGGAAUAUUGGACAAUGGGCGCAAGCCUGAUCCAGCCAUGCCGCGUGAGUGAUGAAGGCCUUAGGGUUGUAAAGCUCUUUUGUCCGGGACGAUAAUGACGGUACCGGAAGAAUAAGCCCCGGCUAACUUCGUG
rnacentral:rRNA from 1 species